GACGAACGCUGGCGGUGUGCUUAACACAUGCAAGUCGAACGGUAAGGCCCUUUCGGGGGUACACGAGUGGCGAACGGGUGCGUAACACGUGAGUAACCUGCCCUCAUCUCUGGGAUAACAGUCGGAAACGGUUGCUAAUACUGGAUAUGAGCUUGCAAGGCAUCUUGUGGGUUGGAAAGAUUUUUUUUGGUUGGGGAUGGACUCGCGGCCUAUCAGCUUGUUGGUGAGGUAAUGGCUCACCAAGGCUUCGACGGGUAGCCGGCCUGAGAGGGCGACCGGCCACAUUGGGACUGAGAUACGGCCCAAACUCCUACGGGAGGCAGCAAUGGGGAAUAUUGCACAAUGGACGGAAGUCUGAUGCAGCAACGCCGCGUGCGGGAUGACGGCCUUCGGGUUGUAAACCGCUUUCAAUUGUGACGAAGCUUUUUUGUGACGGUAGCAGUAGAAGAAGCACCGGCUAACUACGUG
rnacentral:rRNA from 1 species